CUUCACCGAACCGAGCAGCAGCGGGUGUUCGGGGUCGCGGCCCUGUCCGUACGUGGCCAGCAGCGCCUGCGCCUC
rfam:Streptomyces sp. NBRC 110611 DNA, contig: scaffold00045.